rnacentral:sRNA from 12 species
ACUCAUGUAACUCAAGGGUUAUGUGGUGCGGCCAUUAAAUUAUGGUCAGCUUGUUUGUCCAGCGUAAGCAAAUACAUUAAGAGGUCUGUCACUGUGGGAGUAGCGCGAUCGCGAAAACAACAUACAGC